UUACUUCAGCUUCGGGCAAGAAUCCCUCAGUGUAGCAGACUAUGCACCCAGAAGUUACUCCAGCUUCGGCAGGGCUCCCUCAGUGUGGCAGACUAUGAACCCAGAAGUUACUCCAGCUUCGGCAGGGCUCCCUCAGUGUGGCAGACUAUGAACCCAGAAGUUACUCCAGCUUCGGCAGGGCUCUCUCAGUGUGGCAGACUAUGAACCCAGAAGUUACUCCAGCUUCGGCAGGGCUCCCUCAGUGUGGCAGACUAUGAACCCAGAAGUUACUCCAGCUUCGGCAGAACACCCUUAGUGUGGCAGACUAUGCACCCAGAUGUUACUCCAGCUUCGGGCAAGAAUCCCUCAGUGUAGCAGACUAUGCACCCAGAAGUUACUCCAGCUUCGGGCAAGAAUCCCUCAGUGUAGCAGACUAUGCACCCAGAAGUUACUCCAGCUUCGGCAGGACACCCUCAGUGUGGCAGACUAUGAACCCAAAAGUUACUCAAGCUUUGGCAGGACACCCUCAGUGUGGCAGACUAUGCGUUAGAGUUUCGCACGCUAGCAGCGGAGGGUACCUGGAACUCGGAAGCGCGGCUCAACACAUUCCUGCACCAAUUAUCGGAGGAAAUAAAGGAUGAGCUGGCAGCCCGGGAACUACCGAAGGAUCUCGACUCACUCAUUGCCUUAACCAUCCGGAUCGAUGGACGGCUACGGGAACGUAGGAGGGAGAAGAGGUCUGAUUGUGGUCCCAAUCGCUCACUCAAGGAUCCCACCUGGCAUCUGGUGAACUCCGGAAGUCCCCGGUGUCUACGUCUCAGAGAGGAUCCGAGCUUACCCGAGUCCCUCCAAGAGUCUCCAGAGACUACCAAUUCACCUCUUCCUGAGCGAAUGCAGCUCGGGAGGGCUGGGCUGUCUCCAGCCAAAUGAGUAUGCAGACUUGAGACCCAGAGUUGUCUGUAUUGCGGUACUGCCGGUCAUUUUGUGUUUACCUGUCCCUUCAGAAGACCUAGCUCCUUCGUUGGAGUGAGUACACUGGUGGGUCUGAAAGAUAAUUGUUCUUCUCCCCCUACUGCCCCCAUCUCCAUGCCACCCUGCUGUGGGGUGACUCGUCCAAGUCUCUCCAGGUGCUCUACUCGGGGGCCGAUGUGAUUCGCCUGGAGGUUACAAUAGCGUCUGAGCUGGGCAUCCCCACUCAACCCCUCUCCAUUCCCAAGGAUUUUAGAGUGCUGGACAGGUUCUGUAUAGGCCGGGUCACCCACCAGACCACCCCCGUCAACCUACGAGUGUCGGGGAAACACAGCGAGACGAUCCAAUUCCUACUGGUUGAGUCUCCGCAGGUUCCCAUGGUAUUGGGAUUCUCUUGGCUCCAGCGACACAAUCCCUCCAUUGACUGGGCUACUGGUGCCAUCGGGGGCUGGAGUCCGUCCUGCCACACUCAUUGCCUGACGUCAGCUCUGCCUGCCCCGGGACGUCUUCCUGUGGGCUUGGAAAUUUCCCCGGACCUCUCCUCCACUAUCAGGAAUCAAGAAGCAUCCAACCAGGAGUCAUCUCUAGCCAGGAGUCAUCUCUAGCCAGGAGUCAUCUCUAGCCAGGAGUCAUCUCUAGCCAGGAGUCAUCUCUAGCCAGGAGUCAUCUCUAGCUUGACUUAGAUAGCUUAAGGCCAGGAACUUGGAUCUACAUGGAGAGGAGGGCAGGAUGUGUCCUUACACUUCACUAUGGACUGACUGCGGUUGCUACACAACAUAACACCUUUCCUGAUAAUGUGGGCUCCUACAGAUUCAAAAGCUAAUGUUCUAUCUUCACUCAAGGGACUAAAAACAAACACCCCCAACACCAACGAACCACUGUCUUAUGAUUUGGUCUUAUGAUUCUAACACUGGCGACAAAUAUGAAAUGUAACAGGGCCUAAAUGUUCUGUGGGGGUUAAAAACAUCCUCAUUUUGUCUGUGAAUCAUUGUACUGUAUUUGCCCACUUGUUGAAAUGGAAUCCAUAUUUGUAGCACAUUCCUUUAGUGACAGUUCUCUUUAAGAUAGUGGAUAGAUAGCAUAAUUGCUAUGGGAACAUCAGAUAUGGCUGUGAUAGGAGAUAAUUUAGUGUUAUGAUCCAAACCACCGCUGGCAGGCUUGUUGGCUGCUGCCGCACAGCUCUCACCACACCACCAGUCCUGGGUGUGUAAUCACUCUCUGGUCAACCUCACAACCUCACUGGAAGGAUAUGCCAACACACCCUUUAUAGGAGUGCAUAUCUUUAUGGUGUCUCUCAAGCUCUCCUAUUUUCCCUAGUAUUGAAAUUAGGAAACCAUGAAAUCAUUUGAAUCACCAGUUACUUUUGGCAUCAUGUACAGUCAUUGAUGAUCAGGGUGGUACCGUGGGGCACAUUGGAAAAGCAAUUUUCUUAAAAAACGUGUCUCUUUCUUCCAAAUAUUACGCUUUCAAAAAAGCACCUCUUGUCUGUGAGCCAUAUAUGAUCGGCCAUUACCUUUAUAGUGCUCUACUUUUGCCCAAGACCCAUAGGACUCUGGUUGAAAGAAAUGCACUAUAUAGGGCAUAGUAUGUCAUUUGGGAUACACACCCAGUGUCCUCUACUGAGCCAGUGUCCUCUACUGAGCCGGUGUCCUCUAUUGAGCCGGUGUCCUCUUACUGAGCCAAUGUCCUCUUACUGAGCCGGUGUCCUCUUACUGAGUCGGUGUCCUCUUACUGAGUCGGUGUCCUCUUACUGAGUCGGUGUCCAAUACUGAGCCGGUGUCCUCUACUGAGCCGGUGUCCUCUUACUGAGCCAAUGUCCUCUUACUGAGCUGGUGUCCUCUUACUGAGUCGGUUUCCUCUAUUGAGCUGGUGUCCGAUACUGAGCCGGUGUCCUCUACUGAGCCGGUGUCCGAUACUGUGCCAGACCAGUUGGAAUGGGUUUGGUGGGGAGAGGCAAAGAGAUAGGUAGUUGUUGAGUGAUCUAAUGGCUCCACUCAUUGAGGUAGUUGUUGAGUGAUCUAAUGGCUCCACUCAUUGAGGUAGUUGUUGAGUGAUCUAAUGGCUCCACUCAUUGAGGUAGUUGUUGAGUGAUCUAAUGGCUCCACUCAUUGAGGUAGUUGUUGAGUGAUCUAAUGGCUCCACUCAUUGAGGUAGUUGUUGAGUGAUCUAAUGACUCCACUCAUUGAGGUAGUUGUUGAGUGAUCUAAUGGCUCCACUCAUUGAGGUAGUUGUUGAGUGAUCUAAUGGCUCCACUCAUUGAGGUAGUUGUUGAGUGAUCUAAUGACUCCACUCAUUGAGGUAGUUGUUGAGUGAUCUAAUGACUCCACUCAUUGAGGUAGUUGUUGAGUGAUCUAAUGGCUCCACUCAUUGAGGUAGUUGUUGAGUGAUCUAAUGGCUCCACUCAUUGAGGUAGUUGUUGAGUGAUCUAAUGACUCCACUCAUUGAGGUAGUUGUUGAGUGAUAUAAUGGCUCCACUCAUUGAGGUAGUUGUUGAGUGAUCUAAUGGCUCCACUCAUUGAGGUAGUUGUUGAGUGAUCUAAUGGCUCCACUCAUUGAGGUAGUUGUUGAGUGAUCUAAUGGCUCCACUCAUUGAGGUAGUUGUUGAGUGAUCUAAUGACUCCACUCAUUGAGGUAGUUGUUGAGUGAUCUAAUGACUCCACUCAUUGAGGUAGUUGUUGAGUGAUCUAAUGGCUCCACUCAUUGAGGUAGUUGUUGAGUGAUCUAAUGACUCCACUCAUUGAGGUAGUUGUUGAGUGAUCUAAUGACUCCACUCAUUGAGGUAGUUGUUGAGUGAUCUAAAGGCUCCACUCAUUGAGGUAGUUGUUGAGUGAUCUAAUGGCUCCACUCAUUUGGCUUUGAAUAUGUUGAAAUAAAGGAUUCUUCAUGUUUGAUAUGAGGUAUGUAGAGAAUCAUUUAAGGUAUAAGUUAAUGUAUGUAUAUGUGUCACCCAGUGUGCCAAAUGUAUAAGGAAAUGGCUGUGUGGGUUUGUUUGGGUGUGUGUGUUUGUGUGUGUGUGUGCGAGCGACUGCGCGUGACCUGUGGUCUGGCUGUUCUUGCAGCAUGGCCAGAGUCACGUCCUCAUGCCUUCAGCCGGUGGGAAUGUGGUGAGUUUGGUUGAGACCAGCUCAUAAACUACUGCACCCUGGCACCAUCACACUUCCCCUGCUGACAAGGAAGCAGAGACCGAGGGGGAAGCCACACAGGCAGCCAGCGACCAGCGGAGAGGCCAGGGGCUUUUUUCUUCUCGCAUGCUGUUGCUGUUUCAGUCCCACACACAAGGCUUCUCAGCUGACCCAAGGAUCAAGACCUUUAGCUGUUGGCUUUUGUGGUGCAGUGUAGUUGUCUCUGUGACCAGUUUCACUUCACCUGACACACACACACAGAAACAAUGAUGCUUUCUCUCAUGAAAGCACAUUUGUUAAGAGAUUUUAUUUGGGUGUGAGUGCAUUAAUGUAUCCUGUGAUAAAGGUUUAAUAACGAGGAUCAAACGCUAGUCAUUUUGCUCCAUCAUCAGUUUUCCAUCAGUGAUCUCAGCCUCUUCUGAACCCCAAGGUUGUAUUCAUAGUCUGUUUGUCUGAUGGAAAGCCAAGAUAUGACUCACUACUAUACCCUUUUUUAAAAGAUAACAUUUUGUGAGGAUGUGGAUUGGUUCUUGGUCAUGAAGUAGUAUGGUUAACAAUUGUCACUGAUUAUGAGACCAGUGGACAACAUGGGUUCCAUUAAAGACUGCAGUAAUGUCAACCAAAGGUCAUACUUUAUUUUUGCAAAGAGAACACUAAAACAAAAAGUGUCUACAUCUGCUAAUGUAAAAACGUUGUGCAGAGUAAAACUGAUAGAAGUGAAAGUAGGUAUGAGAGCGUGACUGUGAAUGAGACCUUUUGUCCUGGAAGAGGUAGCAGAAGUGGGGUUGUCUGGUGUGUGGUUAGCUAGCUCUGCUGUGCUAUUGUCAAUGUGGAAGUACCUCUGACCUCUGCCCUGUCAGUGCACUCUCUGUGGGGGUCACGCGGUUGGUUGCAGCGACGGCCAACCGUCAUUAAAAGAGAACCCAAAUCAGUGGUGGGAUGAUUGGAUGUUCUCUGCGUCAUUAUAGUCUAUGGAACACUACUGUACCACAAGUGUAAGUCAUCUAUGACACGUCCCAUUUUCUAUCAAAUGGAGGCUAAAAGUAGGCUUUAGGAUUUAGCAUAUAUAUAUAUUCACAGAGGGAGAUAUUGUAUAGUGUGACAGUGUUUGCCAAACGCCAUGUUGUAUGUUGAGGAUGUGUUUAACCCCACUAUAGCUGUGACUUGUUUUGUUUGUCUGGAAUGACUGUGGGUCCUCAUGGUCUGGAGGAAACCCACUGUGAUUGGCAGGGAGACGGUGUGGGUGGUGCGUGUGUUUGUGUGUGUGUAUUUUGUGCAUGUGUGCGUGCAUCUAUGCGCUCCUUCGUGCUUGUGUCUGUUUGUAUGUGUGUGUAUCUGUGUGUGUGUGUGUGUGUGUGUGUGUGUGUGUGUGUGUGUGUGUGUGUGUGUGUGUGUGUGUGUGUGUGUGUGUGUGUGUGUGUGUGUGUGUGUGUGUGUGUCUGAGUGUCAGGAAAGA